GGGUGAGUAACACGUAGGUAUCUACCUUAGAGUCUGGAAUAACCUGCCGAAAGGCGGGCUAAUACUGGAUAGAACGAUUUUAUCGGGAAAGGGAGCUGGUAACAGCCCUCGCUUUAAGAUGAGCCUGCGUCUCAUUAGCUUGUUGGUGGGGUAAAGGCCUACCAAGGCGAUGAUGAGUAGCUGGUCUAAGAGGAUGAUCAGUCACACUGGGACUGAAACACGGCCCAGACUCC
rnacentral:rRNA from 1 species